UCUGAUCAAUGAUCGAUACCUUUAAAAUGUGACUGUUGGAUGAAACAUGCGGAUAUGGGACUGAGAUCAGAA
ensembl:snoRNA